GGUGAUAUAGCUUAGUGGCAUAAGCAUCUGCCUGAUAAGCACAAGGUCCUGAGUUUUAUUCCCAGUACCA
rfam:Cavia porcellus supercont2_4 genomic scaffold, whole genome shotgun sequence.